rnacentral:tRNA from 1 species
GGCUCGGUAGCUUAGUUGGUAAAGCACUCGUCUAUCAUACUAGAGUCGUCGGUUCGAAUCCCACCUGAACAA